AAAAGAACUUAGAGGUGAGAGUUCAACAGGGCGUAAAACCGCUUAGAAGUAAACGGAUGGAGCUGACAUUAUCUCUGUCGGAUUCAGCUGGCCUGAAGACUCUUCCUUGCGAGACCGAUCGGAAGACGGUUCGUAGGGCGUGUCGUGUCCGAAGGCUAGUGCAUUUCUGGCAGAGUGCAUCAUGACCGAUGGUUGCGUUGGCAGAAGGUUGAGCAGUUGCCGAUUGUGGGUCUUCGGACUCGGCAGUGUCCCACUGUUCUUCCCGAACCGGAUUGCGACCAUCGGAGUCCUGCCGCAGCCGACUUGUCUCGCACUGCGUUGUCACUUGGUCGAUCGAAUCGUGUGGUUCAGCUUGCUGGAUCAUGCACCCCCCGGCCUUGUGUGCUUCGCUUUGGCGAGAUGCUGCUAAUGGUCUAUGGUGUCCGCGUCAGUAGCCCAUCCGACCCGUCUUGAAACACGGACCAAGGAGUCUAACAUGUGCGCAAGUCACUGGGUGGAAAACCCAAAGGCGAAAUGAAAGUAAAGGCCGCAAGGCUGAGGUACGAUGUCUGUCUCUGAUGGACCGCAGUACCGCCCCAUCGCACCGGCUCGUCCGAGCGGUGGAGGUAGAGCGCACACGUUGGGACCCGAAAGAUGGUGAACUAUGCCUGAGCAGGAUGAAGCCAGAGGAAACUCUGGUGGAGGUCCGUAGCGGUUCUGACGUGCAAAUCGAUCGUCAGACUUGGGUAUAGGGGCGAAAGACUAAUCGAACCAUCUAGU
rnacentral:rRNA from 1 species